AUAACAAUACAGGACUCUUUCCAGGCCCUGUAAUUGGAAUGAGUCCACUUUAAAUCCUUUAACGACGAUCUAUUGGAGGACAAGUCUGGUGCAGAGCAACUGACCCAUGCAUGCUGCAGCUGAAACUCUGUCAUCGCCUGCUCCUG
rnacentral:rRNA from 1 species